CCUACGGGAGGCAGCAGUGGGGAAUAUUGGGCAAUGGGCGCAAGCCUGAUCCAGCAACGCCGCGUGAAGGAAGAAGGCUUUCGGGUUGUAAACUUCUUUUCUCAGGGACGAAGCAAGUGACGGUACCUGAGGAAUAAGCCACGGCUAACUACGUGCCAGCAGCCGCGGUAAUACGUAGGUGGCAAGCGUUAUCCGGAUUUACUGGGUGUAAAGGGCGUGUAGGCGGGGACGCAAGUCAGAUGUGAAAACCACGGGCUCAACCUGUGGCCUGCAUUUGAAACUGUGUUUCUUGAGUACUGGAGAGGCAGACGGAAUUCCUAGGGUAGCGGUGAAAGGCGUAGAUAUUAGGAGGAACACCAGUGGCGAAGGCGGUCUGCUGGACAGCAACUGACGCUGAGGCGCGAAAGCGUGGGGAGCAAACAGGAUUAGAUACCCUAGUAGUC
rnacentral:rRNA from 1 species